rnacentral:lncRNA from 8 species
UCGAACAGUGCUGGUUGGCCAAUCAGCUGGUACCUCUGCUUAUUGAGAAACAGUGGCUCUUUUGGGAUUGUCUCGAAAGGAAGUAUGAGAAUGCUGCUGGAAACUUUUGCGAAAUCAACCAUGCCUCACUGUUUAGGCCUUAGAAAACUGGAUACCUGUAAUGUUUACCGUUUUGUUCUUUUGCUAAAUGCCCUUGUGCUACACCCGUGUACCAACAGAAAGCUGUCAGGCGGAACCGCAGACAGUUCCAGGAUCAGGGUCUGUCAGAAGAUAAUACAACAAUGCAGAUCAGCCCAACAGGCGACACUACCGCAUUAAAACAGGUCAGAAUAAUUAAAAAGGAUGUGUUUAAGAAAAAUGGAAAUUCCAGGACAUUGUGUAUGUCUAAAUUUCAUUCACUUAGGA